rnacentral:sRNA from 1 species
GUAAUUGUGUUAAAAUACAACCGAGCAAGUUAAGUGGAUGGUGGCUAUCCAAGUAUAAAGGAGGUGGUGCCUAUGGUGCCAUUACUCAAAAUCUUUAGAAAGGAGACGCCCCUAUGGUAACAGUUGCGGAAGCACUAUGCCUUAUGAUAAGUUUCGGCUCAUUUGUCGUCACUCUUCUAGGGUUGGUGAUCGUAA